rnacentral:rRNA from 1 species
AAAACUUUUAACAACGGAUCUCUUGGUUCUGGCAUCGAUGAAGAACGCAGCGAAAUGCGAUAAGUAAUGUGAAUUGCAGAAUCCAGUGAAUCAUCGAAUCUUUGAACGCACAUUGCGCCCGCCAGCAUUCUGGCGGGCAUGCCUGUUCGAGCGUCAUU